CCAAUAGCGUAUAUUAAAGUUGUUGCAGUUAAAAAGCUCGUAGUUGAAUUUCGGGAUUGACACAUCGGUCGUGCCUUAAGGGGUAUGAACUGGUGUAGUCAAUUUCUCACCUUCUGGAGAACCGCAAUGCCCUUAAUUGGGUGUCGCGGGGAACCAGGACCUUUACUUUGAAAAAAUUAGAGUGUUUAAAGCAGGCAUUUUGCUUGAAUACAUUAGCAUGGAAUAAUAAAAUAGGACGGCAUGAUUCUAUUUUGUUGGUUUCUAGGAUCACCGUAAUGAUUAAUAGGGAUAGUUGGGGGCAUUAGUAUUCAAUUGUCAGAGGUGAAAUUCUUGGAUUUAUUGAAGACUAACUACUGCGAAAGCAUUUGCCAAGGAUGUUUUCAUUAAUCAAGAACGAAAGUUAGGGGAUCGAAGACGAUAAGAUACCGUCGUAGUCUUAACCAUAAACUAUGCCGACUAGGAAUCAGACGAUGUUAAUUUUUUAAUGACUCGUUUGGCACCUUACG
rnacentral:rRNA from 1 species